GAUCCUGGCUCAGAAUCAACGCUGGCGGCGUGCCUAACACAUGCAAGUCGAACGAGAAAGUGGUAGCAAUACCAUGAGUACAGCGGCGCACGGGUGAGUAACACGUGACUAACCUACCCUGGAGUGGGGGAUAACUGAGGGAAACCUUAGCUAAUACCGCAUAAUACCCACGGGUCAAAGGAGCAAUUCGCUCUGGGAGGGGGUCGCGGCCGAUUAGUUAGUUGGCGGGGUAAUGGCCCACCAAGACGAUGAUCGGUAUCCGGCCUGAGAGGGCGCACGGACACACUGGAACUGACACACGGUCCAGACUCCUACGGGAGGCAGCAGUGGGGAAUUUUGCGCAAAUGGGGGAAACCCUGACGCAGCAACGCCGCGUGGAGGAUGAAGUACUUCGGUACGUAAACUCCUUUCGAUCGGGACGAUAAUGACGGUACCGGAAGAAGAAGCCCCGGCUAACUUCGUGCCAGCCGCGGC
rnacentral:rRNA from 1 species